UGCUGCUUUCCAAACACCAAUUCAUAUUCCCACUUGAUCCCAAAAUUCCUAAUCGGUCUGUUCUUCAAAACCAAGUCAUAUUCACUCAUAAGGUUUCUACCCAAAAUCCCAAUCGUUCGACCGUGCUUAGCCGCAAGCGACCACCAAUCGGCUGUUUGCAGUCGUUACUGAGUUGCUUUUACUAUAACAAUCAACCAUGUUCCAAUCGACCUCUUUAACUGCAAAUGUAUAUCUGACUUCCUCAUGAUCUUAUUGGAAAUACUUAAUGCAAUCGUGACCUACGCAUUCCCAUGGAACCUGAGCUAUGGAUGAAGAUGCAUAUCCAAUUUGCAUGAAUAUAUCAGCACUUGUUUCCUUGUCAUCAAGGUUGGGCAUCAAGGGUGAAAGAAACUCAUGUAGAGGGCUGCACAAAGGAAAAGAUCAAGGUUACAAUCUGGUUUUCAACUUAAAACAAGCAAUAUUUGGUGUUAGAUAAGAUAUCAAAGUAACUCGUCUUGAGAGUUGUGGACCUUGCAACAAGUCUUGUGUCCAACCUGGGACUAGCGUGCCCAAAUGCACAUGUGAUAAAAUUCAAGUUUUC